rnacentral:rRNA from 1 species
CGUGCAGGCGGUUUUUUAAGUCUAAGGUGAAAGCUCCCGGCUCAACUGGGAGAGGUCCUUGGAUACUGGAGAACUUGAGGGAUGCAGAGGAAAGUGGAAUUCCCGGUGUAGUGGUGAUAUGCGUAGAUAUCGGGAGGAACACCAGUGGCGAAGGCGGCUUUCUGGGCAUUUCCUGACGCUGAGACGCGAAAGCGUGGGGAGCGAACC